rnacentral:rRNA from 1 species
GGCUGAAACUCGCCUUCAUGAAGCUGGAGUUGCUAGUAAUCGCGAAUCAGCAUGUCGCGGUGAAUACGUUCCCGGGCCUUGUACACACCGCCCGUCACACCAUGAGAGUUGGCAAUACCCAACGUACGUGAUCUAACCCGCAAGGGAGGAAGCGUCCUAAGGUAGGGUCAGCGAUUGGGGUGAAGUCGUAACAAGGUAUC